rnacentral:miRNA from 1 species
ACUGGCAUGCUGCAUUUAUAUA